ACCAGACUCCUACGGGAGGCAGCAGUGGGGAAUAUUGCACAAUGGGGGAAACCCUGAUGCAGCAACGCCGCGUGAGUGAAGAAGUCAUUCGUGAUGUAAAGCUCUAUCAGCAGGGAAGAAAAUGACGGUACCUCAUGAAUAAGCCACGGCUAACUACGUGCCAGCAGCCGCGGUAAUACGUAGGUGGCAAGCGUUAUCCGGAUUUACUGGGUGUAAAGGGCGUGUAGGCGGGACUGCAAGUCAGAUGUGAAAAUUAUGGGCUCAACCCAUAACCUGCAUUUGAAACUGUAGUUCUUGAGUGAUGGAGAGGCAGGCGGAAUUCCGUGUGUAGCGGUGAAAUGCGUAGAUAUACGGAGGAACACCAGUGGCGAAGGCGGCCUGCUGGACAUUAACUGACGCUGAGGCGCGAAAGCGUGGGGAGCAAACAGGAUUAGAUACCCUAGUACA
rnacentral:rRNA from 1 species